UACGUAGGGUGCGAGCGUUGUCCGGAAUUAUUGGGCGUAAAGGGCUCGUAGGCGGUCUGUCACGUCGAAAGUGAAAACUCAGGGCUCAACCCUGAGCCUGCUUCCGAUACGGGCAGACUAGAGGUAUGCAGGGGAGAAUGGAAUUCCUGGUGUAGCGGUGAAAUGCGCAGAUAUCAGGAGGAACACCAAUGGCGAAGGCAGCUCGCUGGGACGGUACUGACGCUGAGACGCGAAAGCGUGGGGAGCAAACAGG
rnacentral:rRNA from 1 species